rnacentral:rRNA from 1 species
AUUGAACGCUAGCGGGAUGCCUUACACAUGCAAGUCGAACGGAGUGGCGAACGGGUGAGUAAUGUAUCGGAACGUGCCCAGUAGCGGGGGAUAACUACGCGAAAGCGUAGCUAAUACCGCAUACUAUUGGAGCGGCCGAUAUCGGAUUAGCAAGUUGGGGGGGUAACGGCUUACAAAGGCGCCGGUCCGUAGCGGGUUUGAGAGGAAGACCAGCCACCCUGGGACGGAGACACGGCCCAGACUCCUACGGGAGGCAGCAGUGGGGAAUUUUGGACCAUGGGGGAAACCCUGAUCCAGCCAGCCCGCGUGUACGAUGAAGGCCUUCGGGUUGUAAAGCACUUUUGGCGGGAAAGCGGUACCUGCAGAAUAAGCACCGGCUAACUACGUGCCAGCAGCCGCGGUAAUAC